AUUAGUACAUGGCUUUAAAAUAACAGUUCCUAAGUUAGAAACAAAUACAUUAGAAUUUACCGAACAAUGUAUAAAAGCCUUGUGAAAGAGUAAUGAAAUAUUUAAAACAACAAAAUAACGUUUUCAUUCUCUACCCACCACAUAUUAUUCAUACUCUUCGCAUUCAAGAGAGAUUUUCUUCUCCAAGAUCUUUAGGGUGACAGCUUUCAUUGUCUCUUCAUUGUCUAUUCACUGGCUUAGCGUGGGGGGCGGGGAAGGGCGUUUCCCUGGGUCCAGACCAUUAGGGUACCCCGGAGCUCACAAAGUGGGCUUUCACCCUCGCUGAACGUUUGGCCAAGGCUCACGUGCGCACACACAAACACAAUCUAGUCUGUCAGGGCGGAACCUCCCGAAUCAGACAUUAAAGAUCUUGUCAAGUAAAUUAUGAUUUUGCACCACAAGAAAAAAAAUCAUUUAAUUUUUAACAGUGAAUUAAAAACCUUUUGAAGCCUACAGUUCCACAGUAAUGAAAGGCUUUUAAGUCCUCCUGACAGGAGGUUUAGUGAGGUCGUACGAACCCCGCCCAGUGGCUCCAACGCCAGGGAAGAGAGAAACAAACAGCUCCUCCCCGCGCCGCCAAGACACAGGCUGCCAAAGGCUCUAGCAGAAACUGUUUUUCCCCGUUAAUAUAUGGGUAUCUUUCUAAAAAGCCAGCGAGUCCUAUAGGGAUCUUUUUAUAUUAACCCAAGGCUCCGCUUUGUCCCUGUCCUCUCCACUUCCGCAAUCCCCCUAUCUACACACACCGCCCUCUAGUUCUGUUGGACGACUUCUGUCCCUGCCUCUGGGGAAAGAAGCGAGACAGGAAAGAGCCUCUCCUAGUCACACAAAUGCAGUGCGUACACACCGAGGACUAAGGCGACACAACCAUCGCCUUUCCCAGUCCCAGACUCUCAUUACGACAGGCUGGCUGGCUGCGGCCCGGAAGGGCUCUCGGAUAACACGAACUCAUAUUGCGCCGCCUUUGUUCUUCCCCAUAGUUCUGCUGCGUCCUGGGCGCAGUUCUGGUUGAAUUCCCGCACCCGCACUGCGGCGGCGGAGCUUACAGAUUUUGGGCAGACAAAGCUAAACCUCACAAACAAUGCAGAAGAUCACUCUUACCCGAAACAAAAGAACUUAAGGUUUUUAAGAAACCUUAAGUCAGACCCUGGAGGACUGACUCCACCCAAUGGAAACAAAGGGCCAGAGAAAAAAGAUUCUUACCAUGGUUGCUACUUCGCUGCUGCGGAGGAGAUAGUGGAAUCGGAGAGGAGAGGUUGUUGCUUCUUACAGCGCGACUCUUAGGCGGUCGAUGUAAGAGAACCUGCGGCACAUGGGCGGAUGCGGCUCCCUAUAUACAACUCAGUCACCAUGGGGAUGGGCCGGGGCCUUUUCCAGUUGGUCCAGACCCUGCGAUCUGCCCAGAGAAGCCACGACAGGAGAGUGGUGAUUGGUGCAAGCGACAUGGGAUGAGAACCAAUCAAUAUACUCAGUGAAUCGGCUCUUGCUGUGUGUGACCUUUAAAGACUAUCUUCUGAAUUCAUGUUGGCCAAAUUCCAACGCUAACAAUUGAGUUUCAGAAAAAUAAAUAAAUAUUUACCAGAAAACCACUAUGUGAGGAGUUUUUAAAAGGCAUUGUGUCAGCAGUAUAACUUCAGUGGAACAUAGUCCAUUCUCAUGUCACCUGGCAUCAAAUUGCUGGACUUCUCAUAUCACCUAAGUGAA